rnacentral:rRNA from 1 species
UACGAAGGGGGCUAGCGUUGUUCGGAUUUACUGGGCGUAAAGGGUGCGUAGGCGGUUCGUUAAGUCUGUCGUGAAAUCCCCGGGCUCAACCUGGGAAUGGCGAUGGAUACUGGCGAGCUAGAGUGUGUCAGAGGAUGGUGGAAUUCCCGGUGUAGCGGUGAAAUGCGUAGAGAUCGGGAGGAACAUCAGUGGCGAAGGCGGCCAUCUGGGACAACACUGACGCUGAAGCACGAAAGCGUGGGGAGCAAACAGG